AUGGAGAAGGCCCUUCGAGAUGCCAAACUGGACAAGUCACAGAUCCAUGAUAUUGUCUUGGUGGGUGGUUCUACCAGAAUCCCCAAGAUUCAGAAACUUCUGCAAGACUUUUUCAAUGGAAAAGAACUGAAUAAGAGCAUUAACCCCAAUGAAGCUGUUGCCUAUGGUGCAGCGUCCAGGCAGCCAUUCUCUCUGGAGACAAUUCUGAGAAUGUUCAGGAUUUGCUGCUCUUGGAUGUCACUCCUCUUUCCCUUGGUAUUGAAACUGCUGGUGGAGUCAUGACNGUCCUCAUCAAGCGCAAUACCACCAUCCCCACCAAGCAGACACAGACNUUCACCACCUACUCUGAUAACCAGCCAGGUGUACUCAUUCAGGUGUAUGAAGGUGAAAGGGCCAUGACCAAGGACAACAACCUGCUUGGAAAGUUUGAGCUCACAGGCAUACCUCCAGCACCCCGUGGGGUUCCUCAGAUUGAGGUUACUUUUGACAUNGAUGCCAAUGGCAUCCUCAAUGUUUCUGCUGUAGAUAAGAGCACAGGAAAGGAGAACAAGAUCACCAUCACCAAUGACAAGGGCUGCUUGAGUAAGGAAGAUAUUGAGCGCAUGGUCCAGGAAGCUGAGAAGUACAAGGCUGAGAAUGAGAAGCAGAGAGAUAAGGUUUCCUCCAAGAAUUCCCUGGAGUCCUAUGCNUUCAACAUGAAAGCAACUGUGGAAGAUGAGAAACUUCAAGGCAAGAUCAACGAUGAGGACAAACAGAAGAUUCUUGACAAGUGCAAUGAGAUCAUCAGCUGGCUGGAUAAGAACCAGACUGCAGAGAAGGAAGAAUUUGAGCAUCAGCAGAAAGAACUGGAGAAAGUCUGCAACCCUAUCAUUACCAAGCUAUACCAGAGUGCUGGUGGCAUGCCUGGGGGAAUGCCUGGUGGCUUCCCUGGUGGAGGAGCUCCCCCAUCUGGUGGUGCUUCUUCAGGCCCCACCAUUGAAGAGGUGGAUUAAGUUAGUCCAAGAAGAGGGUGGAGCAUUGCUCCACAGGGACCCAAAACAAGUAACAUGGAAUAAUAAAAUUAUUUAAAUUGGCACUGUAAA